AGAGGGUUUAAGGCGCGCUCUCCUAUCUGCCUAAUGCUAUUUUCUGAUUACAAUUGGCGUUUUGUUCGUUUCUCAUGAUUAUCCGCCAACUGAAUUUCAAAACCCUCCAACGAAUACCCAAGCAACGGUAUGCUAGCUGCUCCUACUUCCAUUCAUUCAGACAUGAGCACCAACCGUUCGACCAAAAUCCCCAACCAAAUGCAGCCUCAACUAACCGCUCUAUGCUCAACUACUUGCACAGAAACCUUCCACUCAGAGCCCUUGACAUGUUCUGUAAGCAACUUCAACUACAUUUGUCUCAUAACAUUGAUGAAGUUACCGUUACCCUUGCUGUGAAGGCCUGUCAAGGGGACCCCAAACCCGGAUGCCAAAUUCACGGGUUUGCUGUUUCUUCUGGAUUUGCUUCAUAUACUACGGUUUCAAAUUCUUUGAUGAGUAUGUACACCAAAGCUGGACAGCUUGAUGGUGCCUUAUUUAUCUUUGAGACUAUGUGUUAUACUGAUAUAGUUUCUUGGAAUACUAUUCUUUUGGGAUUUCGAACAAGUGAGGGUGCAUUGAAUUUUGCUCUUAGGAUGAAUUUUAAUGGAGUUGUUUUUGAUCCAGUGACUUAUACUACGGUUCUUGCUUUUUGUGCGGAUCAUGAAGAUUUUCUAUUUGGAUUACAACUGCAUUCUCUUAUAUUUAAGUCUGGUUUAGAUGGUGAAGUUUUUGUUGGAAAUGCAUUUAUAAGUAUGUAUUCGAGGUGGAGGUGGUUAAUAGAAGCUAGGAGUGUGUUUGAUGAAAUGGCGAAUAAGGAUUGUGUUUCAUGGAAUGCAAUACUAUCAGGUUACUCUCAAGAGGGAAAUCAUGGGCUUGAAGCGAUUUUUGUCUUUACUGAGAUGGUGAGAGAAGGGAUGGGGUUAGAUCAUGUCUCAUUUACUAGUGCAGUUUCAUCUUGCGGUCAUGAAAUGAAUUGAGAACUUGGGAAACAGAUACAUGGCUUGACAAUUAAAUCAGGAUAUGGAAGUCAUGUUUCAGUUUGUAAUGUAUUAAUCUCAACAUAUUCAAAGUGUGAGGUUACUGAAGAUGCAAAAUUAGUCUUUCAGUGCAUGAAUGAUUGCAACGUAGUGUCUUGGACGACUAUGAUUUCUAUAGACGAAGAAGAUGCCAUCUCUCUAUUUAAUGGGAUGAGAUUGGAUGGAGUAUAUCCAAAUGAUGUUACAUUUGUUGGACUAAUCCAUGCUGUAUCAAUUAGGAAGUUGGUGGAGGGAGGCGAAAUGAUUCAUGGGUUCUGCAUAAAGACUGGCUUUUUAUCAAAGCAUAAUGUUUGCAACAGCUUGAUCACCAUGUAUGCUAGGUUUGAGUCCAUGCAUGACUCCAUCAAAGUUUUUGAGGAGUUAAACAGCAGAGCAAUUAUAUCUUGGAAUGCUUUGAUUUCAGGGUAUGCUCAGAACAGGUUCUGUCAAGAUGCACUAAAAACAUUCUUGGUAGCAACUAUGGAGUCGAAGCCAAACAAUUACACAUUUGGUAGUGUCUUGAGUGCAAUUGGUGAUGCUCAGGAUAUUUCUCUGAAAUUUGGCCAACGAUGCCACUCUUCCUUGAUCAAACUUGGAUUAGUGACUGACCCAAUUAUCGCAGGUGCUCUUCUUGAUAUGUAUGCAAAGCGAGGAAGCAUUUGUGAGUCCAAAAGAGUUUUCAGUGAGACGCCUCAUAAAAGUCAGUUUUCUUGGACUGCAAUAAUAUCUGCAUAUGCUGGGCAUGGAGACUAUGACUCAGUGAUAGAAUUGUUCAAGAAGAUGGAGAAAGAAGGGGUAAGACCUGAUUCAGUCACAUUUCUUUCUAUACUAACAGCAUGCAGUAGAAAGGGAAUGGUGGAGAUGGGCCGUCACCUCUUUCACUCAAUGGUGAACGACUAUCAUAUUGAACCAUCUCCUCAACAUUAUUCAAGUAUGGUGGACAUGUUGGGACGUAGAGGGAAAUUGGAGGAAGCAGAGGAAUUGAUGAGUCAGAUCCCGGGACAGCCAGGGUUUUCGUUGUUGCAAAGCCUGCUUGGGGCUUGCAGGAUCCAUGGGAAUAUGGAGAUGGCGGAGAGAGUAGCCAAUACAUUGAUGAGAUUGGAACCAAUGGAAUCGGGUUCUUUUGUGUUGAUGUCCAACUUGUAUGCUGAGAAAGGGGACUGGGAAAUGGUAGCAAAAGUUAGGAAAGGGAUGAGAGAUAAAGGAGUGAGAAAGGAAGUGGGAUAUAGUUGGGUGGAUACUGGUGAUGCUGAUGGUUCCUUGUAUCUGCAUGGGUUUUCAUCAGGUGAUACAUCCCAUCCACAGUCUGGGGAGAUAUGUAGAAUGGCGAAAUGUCUAGGAUUAGAGAUGAAAAUUUUGAGAGAGAACAUGAGGGAGACAAAAUCACUGAAAAUGGACUCCUUCUCAAGGCCCUCACUUCGAAGGCUUGAAUCUGUACAUGUAAAACUUCAAAAGUAA